UUGACAAAUUAUUGUAUUCGACUGUAUUCACGACGUGAAAUAUGGGAUUACACUGUUUUUAAAACGGAAAGUAAAUCAAUUAACAUAAUAGACUCCU
rnacentral:pre_miRNA from 1 species